AUGAACGCUGGCGGCGUGCCUAAUACAUGCAAGUCGGGCGAACAGACGAGGAGCUUGCUCCUCUGACGUUAGCGGCGGCCGGGUGAGUAACACGUGGAUAACCUACCUAUAAGACUGGGAUAACUUCGGGAAACCGGAGCUAAUACCGGAUAAUAUAUUGAACCGCAUGGUUCAAUAGUGAAAGACGGUUUUGCUGUCACUUAUAGAUGGAUCCGCGCCGCAUUAGCUAGUUGGUCAGGUAACGGCUUACCAAGGCGACGAUGCGUAGCCGAACUGAGAGGCUGAUCGGCCACACGGGAACUGAGACACGGUCCAGACUCCUACGGGAGGCAGCAGUAGGGAAUCUUCCGCAAUGGGCGAAAGCCUGACGGAGCAACGCCGCGUGAGUGAUGAAGGUCUUCGGAUCGUAAAACUCUGUUAUUAGGGAAGAACAAAUGUGUAAGUAACUAUGCACGUCUUGACGGUACCUAAUCAGAAAGCCACGGCUAACUACGUG
rnacentral:rRNA from 1 species